rnacentral:rRNA from 1 species
UACGGGGGGGGUAAGCGUUGUUCGGAAUUACUGGGCGUAAAGGGCUCGUAGGUGGCCAACUAAGUCAGACGUGAAAUCCCUCGGCUUAACCGGGGAACUGCGUCUGAUACUGGAUGGCUUGAGUUUGGGAGAGGGACGCGGAAUUCCCGGUGUAGCGGUGAAAUGCGCAGAUAUCGGGAGGAACACCUAUGGCGAAGGCAGCUCGCUGGGACGUUACUGACGCUGAGACGCGAAAGCGUGGGGAGCAAACAGG